rnacentral:rRNA from 1 species
UACGUAGGGGCCGAGCGUUGUCCGGAGUUAUUGGGCGUAAAGCGCGCGCAGGCGGCCUCGCUCGCCCGACGUGAAAGCCCCCGGCUUAACCGGGGAGGGUCGUUGGGGACGGCGGGGCUUGAGGGCGGGAGAGGGCGGUGGAAUUCCCGGUGUAGUGGUGAAAUGCGUAGAGAUCGGGAGGAACACCUGUGGCGAAGGCGGCCGUCUGGGCCGACCCUGACGCUGAGGCGCGAAGGCGUGGGGAGCGAACGGG